CCGGAUUCCAGGGGUGUGACCCGGGCCUCAUGUUUCCUCAUCUGUAGAACAGGAAUGACAAUAACACCUGCCUGACAGGAUUGUCAAGAGGAUCAAAUGAGGUAGUGUGAAAGUGCAAAAAAAAAAAAAAAGAAGAAGGCAGUUGCCCUAAUUAUUAGUGCUACGUAUCUAAUUAUUGUCUUAAUUACAAUGGAGCACGGGCUUGGGUUCGAGGACGCAGAAGGCUUGGCCCUGCGCACAAAGAUCUUGUGCACAGAAGCAAAUGACUGCGGCCGUCAGCGCUCACAAACAGGUGAGUCCCGCCCCAGGAGCUCCAAGCCUCUUGGGAGAAGUCAGUGCUUUCCAAGCGGCGCUGCAUCACGGUGGCGGGCUGAGCGCCCCUCCAUCAGUCAGAUCCCUGCGACCGGAGGAAAGCGGGAGAAGAGGGCGCUGGCAGUGUCCUUCGGCCGGCGGGGAAGUGGCUGGACCCCCGCACGGCCGGCGGCACUGGCUCCCCAGCUGACGCCCCAGCAAACCGCGGGGUUGGGGGGAGGAACUCGGCCGCAUCCGCACGUGGAGGUCAGCCGAGUGGGACUUCAGAACGAGCAGAUUCGAAUCUGUCGGCUAGGAAUCUCUGUGACUGGGCUCCCGCCUUCUCUCCAUGACUUUUGAUUUUCCGAGCACCUCCCAGCUGCCUGAACUUGUUUUCCCACCUGUAAUAAAUAGUUGUUAAAAUUACAUGAAAAUAUAGUAAAGAACUUGCUAAUUAUUCAAUAAAUAGCAGCUGUUAUUGCCACCGUCAUAGUCAGCAGCACUGCCGCAUCAUCUGUGGAUGGCCGAGUCAGCCCUGCCCCAUCCCGCGCCAGCCCACACCACCCAGCCGAGUCCCAGGCUCUCUAGCUCCACCGUCUGGGAGGGGACUGCCGUGAGCAUUUCUGCGUGAGAAACCAGGAGCCGGGGUGCCAGGGGUCAGAACCGGCGGCAGCUUUCAUGUCAUAGUUCCCACAUCCUUCUUCCCCUUGCUCCUCAUGCUCCAUGCUGAUCCUUCAAAGAACUGAAUUUCUGCGGUUUCUGGGCCGAGCACUCUCGUCCCAACGAGGACUCCAGGCACUGGCCGGUCCCAACCCAGGCAACCUGCGUGGCUCUGCUUCCGGCAUCUCAGUGGUUCUCGAGAGGGAGAUGCUAUCCUCCUACGGCAAUUGGAACACGGCGGGGGCAUUUUCAUCACAGCGAAGGGGUGCCCUACUGGUACUGCGUGGGAUUGGCCAGUGAUGGAAUAGGCCUGCACGACAAAGAAUUGUCUUGCAUAACUUUCAAAUGUCCCGCAGGACGUUCAUGUAAGUGAAAGGCCAUUUACUAUUAUCUGAACUAGAAUCUAACUCUGUUUUGUAUAUAAACAAAACACUUUUUUUGCAAGACUUUUUUGGGUAUUUUAUUAUUGUAGUAAAAAUACACAACAUAGAAUUUACCAUGUUAACCAUUUUUAAGUGUAUAAUUCAAUGGCAUUAAGUACUUUCAAAAUGUUGUGCAACCAUCACUGCUAUAUAUUUCCAAAACUUUUCGUCACCACAGACAGAAGCUCUGUGCCUAUUAAGCAAUAGCUCCCCAGGCCCCUUCCCGUUGGGUCUUUACAACCUCUAAUCCACUUUCUGGCUCUGUGAAUUUGCCUAUUCUGGGUACUUCGUAUAAGGGGAAUCAUAUAAUAUCUGUCCUUUGUUUCAUCAAAAACUUUACCAAGAGUUGUUCAUGGUAUUGGAAAAUUACCAUCACCAGUGACAAGGCCAUGCGUGGUAUUUAAUCAUCAAUAAAAUUUACAUCCAUCAGUCUGUUUGUAACUGCUACAUAGAACAUGGCUGCAAGCAUUUGAUGCUUUAAUGUUUUCUACUGUAAUUAUGUCUGAACAUUCACAUAUUGAAAUAUGUAUUAUUUUAUUAUGUUUUACAUUCCUUUUUAUUCCCAAGUUACGGCAUUUUGUUUUCUUUUAAAUUAUGUAUCAGUAGCUUAAAUAAGCUAUUAAUUUCAUUUUAGGUUAGUAAUGGGAGUAUUACAAAAUAUUUAUUAUAAAAAGGAGCAUUGGGCCUCGUGGGGCUGAGAAUCAGUGGUUUAUCUCCCUUAGUCACUGAUGAUGACCAGGCGCCAGGGAACAUCUCCCUGGAGGCGAGGGGCUGUUGACCAACCUUGAAUGCCGCCUGUGCCUACAACCUUACACAGCCGGCCUCACCCCUCCGACAGGAAAUCCUCAAACCACUGAACCGGUGGCUCUUUGGCCACCACUACCUGACGACUGUGGUCUGGCCAGUGCGGCCAGGUAGGGAUUUCUGCUCCUGUCCCCAAUGUCGGCCAUUGCAGUUACUAUUGUUCCUAGCUUCAAUGAUGGGCUCAGGCAUCCUAAACAAAUUGAGAUCAGAUCACUUCAAGGCAAUCACCUAAAACUGAAGCUGUAUUUUUAGCAUUCAGCAAAAUGAGUGAUUCUAGCACAAGUCCUGGGCAUCUCACCAACGGGAUUUUGGGGUGACACUCUGUUCACAUUCUUGCUUCAGACUGACCUGCAUCUGGCUGGGAGCACUCAGAUACCAGAUUUUUUCUAAAUGAAAAGGCUGGAAGUAUUAUAGAUAUUGUUUCCUAACCAACUGCCCCUUUAUUAUUCACACUUCCUUAGAUCAGCCCCAAAAUCUUUCUUGAGAGUGUAUAAUAUCACAAGAUUUUAAAUGGGC
rnacentral:lncRNA from 1 species